rnacentral:rRNA from 1 species
AGCAUCACAGAGGGUGAGAAUCCCGUCUUUGACACGGACUACCAGUGCAUUGUGGUUGUGCUCUCAACGAGUCGAGUUGUUUGGGAAUGCAGCUCUAAAUGGGUGGUAAAUUCCAUCUAAAGCUAAAUAUUGGCGAGAGACCGAUAGCGAACAAGUACCGUGAGGGAAAGAUGAAAAGAACUUUGGAAAGAGAGUUAAACAGUAUGUGAAAUUGUUGAAAGGGAAACGUUUGAAGUCAGUCGUGUUGGCUGGGGAUCAACCUGACUUAUUGUUAGGUGUAUUUCCUGGUUGACGGGCCAACAUCAGUUUUGACUGCCAGAAAAAGGCCAAGGGAAUGUGGCACCUUUGGGUGUGUUAUAGCUUUUGGUCGUAUGUGGUGGUUGGGACUGAGGACAGCAGUGCGCCGCAAUGGCAGGGUUUCGACCACAUUCGCACUGAGGAUGUUGGCAUAAUGGCUUUAAGCGACCCGUCUUGAAACACGGACCAAGGAGUCUAACAUGCAUGCGAGUGUUUGGGUGGAAAACCCUUACGCGUAAUGAAAGUGAAAGUUGAGAUCCCUGUCGUGGGGAGCAUCGACGCCCGGACCAGAACUUUUGGGACGGAUCU